GGGGAGAUACUCAAGCGGCCAACGAGGACAGACUGUAAAUCUGUUGUCUUUCGACUUCGCAGGUUCGAAUCCUGCUCUCCCCACCA
rnacentral:tRNA from 1 species